rnacentral:misc_RNA from 2 species
AACGCACAUUGCGCCCACCAGUAUUCUGGUGGGCAUGCCUGUCCGAGCGUCAUUUCAACCCUCAGGCCCAGCCUGGUGUUGGGGAUUGGCUUCGCGGCCACCCCCGAAAUGCAGUGGCGGCCCUCCGCGAACUCCUCUGUGCAGUAGUGAUACCUCGCAUUGGAUAGUGGUUGCGCCUCGCCGUAAAACCUCCAACUUCUCAAGGUUGACCUCGGAUCAGGUAGGAAUACCCGCUGAACUUAA